GUGGGGAAUAUUGGACAAUGGGCGAAAGCCUGAUCCAGCCAUGCCGCGUGUGUGAAGAAGGUCUUCGGAUUGUAAAGCACUUUAAGUUGGGAGGAAGGGCAGUAAGUUAAUACCUUGCUGUUUUGACGUUACCGACAGAAUAAGCACCGGCUAACUUCGUGCCAGCAGCCGCGGUAAUACGUAGGGUGCAAGCGUUAAUCGGAAUUACUGGGCGUAAAGCGUGCGUAGGUGGUUUUGUAAGUUGGAGGUGAAAUCCCCGGGCUCAACCUGGGAACUGCCUCCAAAACUGCAUGACUAGAGUACGGUAGAGGGUAGUGGAAUUUCCUGUGUAGCGGUGAAAUGCGUAGAUAUAGGAAGGAACACCAGUGGCGAAGGCGACUACCUGGACUGAUACUGACACUGAGGUGCGAAAGCGUGGGGAGCAAACAGGAUUAGAUACCCUAGUAGUCU
rnacentral:rRNA from 1 species